rnacentral:rRNA from 1 species
AUGCCAAAAGAUUACUACAGUGGGGAGCCAAAAGGGUUUGCUUUUAUUGAGUUUUUUGACUCCCAUGAUGCUUCUGAGGCUCAAUAUCACAUGAACUGUAAGCUGUUUUGCGGACGUGAGAUUAAAGUUGAGCCUGCCACGGAUAAACGGAAACGGCCCGAAGACAUGCGUAGACGAACUGGAGUAAGAGUUCAUUCUGGUUCUAAAGGGCGCGAUCUUUCUCGCCAUGGACGGUCUCGUUCUCGUUCACACUCCCGUUCUCCUCGCCAAGGUGGUCGUGAUAGAUCACGGUCACAAUCUCCUGCCUCAAGAAGGCGUGGUGACUACUCUGCUUCACCAAAGCAAAAUCAUCAGGACAAUCAAAAGAAUAUGACAACGAUAAGAAGCUGGGAUCCUGUACUCCUGGUGGUAGAAGUGAAUGUCAUGACACUGACAAUGAUUCCAGUGAUACUGUAUAUGGCCAGGAGGCGGGCAACACGUGACUAUUCUGCUGCACCAAAGAGAAAGGAAGCGUGCCAGACAAAAUCGCCAAGGCAGACAAAUGAACAUGAUGAGGAUAAGAAGCGUAUAUCUUUUAGUCCUGAUAGAAACAACCGCCGUGAUGCUGACAAUGGCCACAAUGAGCGAGAUGACUACUCUACUUCAUCAAAGAGAAAGGGAGAACGCCUGUCAAAAUCACUAAGAUUGUCCAAAGAACAUGAUAAGGAUAAGAAGCGGAGAUCCUAUAGUCGUGAUGAUCGAAGUGACUGCCGUGAUGCUGAUAAUAGUUUCAAAGAGAGGCGGGCAACAACUGAUGAUAAGAGAUCCUGUCCCCGCCAGAGGUCACCCAGACCAUCCUCUGGAUCACACUCAAGAAGGCGAGAUGCCUACUCUGCUUCCCCAAAGGGAAAAGAAGAGCGUCGGGAACAAUCACCAAGACAGUCAAAAGAACAUGAUAAACAUAGGAAGCGGAGAUCCAAUACUCCUGAUGAUAGAAAUGACUGCCAUGGUGCUGAUCAUAGUCACAACGAAAUGCAAGGUGACUGCUCUACUUCACCAAAGAUUAAGGAAGAGCGCCAGGCAAAAUCAUCAAGAGAGUCAGAAGAAUAUAACAAGGAUACAAAGGGGAGAUCCUGUGCCCCUCAUGAUAGAAAUGACCGCCAUGAUGCAGUUAAUGGUUCCAGAGAUAGCAAUUUGCAUGUCGACAGGAAGCCGGUAACACCUGACGAUGAGGGGUCCCAUGCCUGCCGGAGGUCACCCAGACCAUCUUCUGGAUCACGCUCAAGAAAGCGAGAUGACUGUUCUGCUUCCCCAAAGAAAAAGGAAGAGUGCCGGGCAAAAUCACCAAAACAGUCCAUUGAAUACAAGGAUGAAAAGAGGUCAUGUACUUCUGAUGAUAUAAAUGGCCGACAUAAUGCUGUUAAUUGUUACAAGAAAAAGCGAGAUGGCUACUCUGCUUCCCCAAAGAUAAAGGAGGAGUGCAGGGCGGAAUCACCACGACCGACAAAAGAACGUGAGGAUAAUGAUGGAAUUGACCGUACUGAUGCUGACAAUGGCUACAAUGAGAGGCGUGCAGGACCUGACUCUGCUUCACAGAAGAGAAUGGAAAAGCCUCCUCAAGCAAAAUCACAAAGCCAGUCAAAAGAAUAUGAUAACGGUAAGAAGAACGGAUCCUGUACCCAUGAUGAUGGAAAGGAGUGCCGCGAUGCUGAUAAUGGUUCCAAAGAGCGAAAGGACUACUCAGCUGCUGGAAAGAGAAAGGAAGAGCGCCUGGCUAGUUUGCCAAGACAAUCAAAGGAACAUGAUGAACAUAAGAAGAGGGGAUCCUAUACUCGUGAUGAUAGAAAUGACCUCCGUGAUGCUGAUAAUGGUUCCAAAGAGCGAAAGGACUACUCGACUGGAAAGAGAAAGGAAGAGCGCCAGGCAAGUUUACCAAGACAAUCAAAGGAACAUGAUGAGCAUAAGAAGAGGGGAUCAUACACUCCUGAUGAUAGAGAUGACCCCCGUGAUGCUGAUAAUGGUUCCAAAGAAAGGCGAAAUGAUUACUCAACUUCCCGAAAGAGAAUGGAGGACUACAUGGCAAAAUCAUCAAGACAAUCAAAAGAACAUGAUGAUGAUAAGAAAAGGGGAUUGUAUACUCCUGAUGAUAGAAGCCACCGCUCCAAUGCUGAUAAUGGUUCGAGAGAGCGAGGUGACUUCUCAGCUUCCGGACGGAGAAAGGAAGAGUACCGGGGAAAAUCACCAAGACAGUUAAAGGAACAUGGUGACAACAAGAAGAGGGGGUCAUAUACGCCUGCUGAUAGAAAUGACCUCCGUGAUGUUAAUAAUGGUUGCAAUGAGAAGCUGGCAACACAUGACGGUAGCCGUAGCCCCUGCCCUGGCCGGAGGUCGCCGCGACCAUCUUAG